GAAAGUAACUAAGGGCGCAUGGCGGAUGCCUUGGCUCAUGGAGGCGACGAAGGACGUGAUAAGCUGCGAUAAGCCGCGGUAAGGUGCAAAUGACCCUUGACCCGCGGAUUUCCGAAUGGGACAACCCACCCGCGCAAUACGCGGGUAUCACCGCUAAGUUCGGUGAGGCGAACCGGGGGAACUGAAACAUCUUAGUACCCCGAGGAAGAGAAAAUAAGUUAAUGAUUCCCCCAGUAGUGGCGAGCGAACGGGGAAGAGCCCAAACCGGCGUUGUGGCGACGCAUCGCCGGGGUUGUAGGACCGCGACAUUGUACCUUGCGUGUGAGGGGAAGCCUCUGGAAAGUGGCGCCAUAGCGGGUGAGAGCCCCUUAUCCGAAGCACAAUUGGGCAUAGCGGUAUCCUGAGUAACGCGGGACACGAGAAAUCCUGCGCGAAUCCGCCGGGACCAUCCGGUAAGGCUAAAUACUCCCAUGAGACCGAUAGCGAACCAGUACCGUGAGGGAAAGGUGAAAAGCACUUCGACAAGAAGAGUGAAAUAGUUCCUGAAACCAUGCGCCUACAAGCGGUCGGAGCUGCUUAUGCAGUGACGGCGUGCCUUUUGCAUAAUGAACCUACGAGUUACCUUCACCAGCAAGGUUAAGGGCCACAAGGCCCGCAGCCGCAGUGAAAGCGAGCCUGAACAGGGCGACAUAAGUUGGUGGUGGUAGACGCGAAACCAAGUGAUCUACACAUGUCCAGGAUGAAGUCCCGGUAACACGGGAUGGAGGUCCGAACGGAUAAGCGUUGAAAAGCUUCCCGAUGAGGUGUGUGUAGGAGUGAAAGGCCAAUCAAACUUGGAGAUAGCUCGUACUCCCCGAAAGGCAUUUAGGUGCCGCGUGCAGUGUUCUCCCCGAGAGGUAGAGCGACCGAUAGGACGCGAGGGCUUCACCGCCUAUCAAGUCCUGACGAACUCCGAAUGCUCAGGGGACGGUAGCUGCGCAGUAAGGGGACGGGUGCUAAGGUCCGUUCCCGAGAGGAGAAGAAUCCAGACCGCCGUCUAAGGUCCCGGAGUUCUGCCUGAGUUAGUCUAACGAAGUCUGGUCCCCGCGACAGCCAGGAUGUUGGCUUGGAAGCAGCCAUUCAUUUAAAGAGUGCGUAACAGCUCACUGGUCGAGGGUCCGGGCGUGGAUAAUAAUCGGGUAUAAGGCAGACACCGAAGACGCGGGAUAGCAAUGUACAUUAAAAGUAUCGGUAGGGGAGCAUUCCAUCGGCGUCGAAUGCGGCGAGACGAUCGUCGCUGGAGCUUAUGGAAAAGCAAAUGUAGGUAUAAGUAACGAUAAGGGGGGUAAGAUUCCCCCCCGCCGUAAGACUAAGGUUUCCCGGGCAAUGCCAAUCAUCCCGGGGUCAGUCGGGUCCUAAGGCUCAGCCGAAGGGCGAGGCCGAUGGCAGAAAGGGUCAACAUUCCCUUACUGCCGCACGGAGCGACGCGGAGACGGAGGCGUGACACCACCGCGGAGAUACGGAAUUCUCCGUUGAAGGGCGUAGGCGUCGAGGGCGGCAGGCAAAUCCACCGCCCGAGCCGAACCCCGAAAGUAUGCCGUUCCCUUCGGGGAAAGGCAAUAGCGUGGGUAAUCAUACUCCCUAGAAAAUCCGCUAAGCUUCAUCCGUGCGGCACCCGUACCGCAAACGGACACACGUAGUCGGGUAGAACAUACUGAGGCGUUGAGAGAUUCAUGGUUAAGGAACUAGGCAAACUGACCCCGUAACUUCGGGAUAAGGGGUCCUCGUCGCAAGGCGAGGCGCAGAGAAUAGGUCCAGGCAACUGUUUAACAAAAACACAGGGCUGUGCCAACUCGAAAGAUGACGUAUACAGCCUGACACCUGCCCGGUGCCGGAAGGUUAAGAGGAGAGCUCAGAGCAUCUGCUCGAAGGUUCGAAUUGAAGCCCCGGUAAACGGCGGCCGUAACUAUAACGGUCCUAAGGUAGCGAAAUUCCUUGUCGGGUAAGUUCCGACCUGCACGAAUGGUGUAAUGAUCCGGACGCUGUCUCAACCAUGAUCUCAGUGAAAUUGUAGUAUCGGUGAAGAUGCCGAUUACCCGCGAUGGGACGAAAAGACCCCGUGAACCUUUACUGCAGCUUAGCAUUGACCUUGGUCAUCCGAUGUGUAGGAUAGGCCGGAGGCUUCGAAGCGCGGGCGCCAGCCCGCGUGGAGCCGCCCUUGAAAUACGGCCCUUUGGCUGUCCGAGGUCUAACCCGCAAGUGUGGGGACACUGCUUGGUGGGCAGUUUGACUGGGGUGGUCGCCUCCAAAAGCGUAACGGAGGCUUCCAAAGGUGCCCUCAGGCCGAUUGGUAACCGGCCCGUUAGAGUGCAAUGGCAUAAGGGCGCUUGACUGGGAGGCAGACAUGCCGAGCAGGCAGGAAACUGGGGCAUAGUGAUCCGGUGCAAGUGUAUGGAAACUGCAUCGCUCAAAGGAUAAAAGGUACUCCGGGGAUAACAGGCUGAUCCCCCCCAAGAGCUCAUAUCGACGGGGUGGUUUGGCACCUCGAUGUCGGCUCGUCACAUCCUGGGGCUGGAGAAGGUCCCAAGGGUUGGGCUGUUCGCCCAUUAAAGUGGCACGCGAGCUGGGUUCAGAACGUCGUGAGACAGUUCGGUCUCUAUCUAUCGUGGGCGUUGGAGUUUUGCGUGGCCCUGUCACUAGUACGAGAGGACCGUGAUGGACAGACCUCCGGUUUACCGGUUGUGCCGCCAGGUGCACCGCCGGGUAUCUGAGUCUGGAUCGGAUAAGCGCUGAAAGCAUCUAAGUGCGAAGCCGGCCGCAAGAUUAGAACUCCUCAUGAGGGUCGUCCCAGACGAGGACGUCGAUAGGGCGCAGGUGUAAAGGCGGCGACGCCAAAGCCGAGCGCUACUAAUUGCCCGAAACUUUCUUACC
rnacentral:rRNA from 1 species